ACAGAUGGCGGCUCGAUGUGAGGUCAACAUCAGAAUCUAAUUACGUCUGCUGAUUUGUUUAUGCUUCACGGGACGGAGAGAGGAAUCCUUGUCCUUCUGAUUUGCAGUGGUUGUUCUCGAUUGAUCUAAAAGGCUGGGAAACCCGGUCAGAUUGGGAUGUCGGACAUGGCUGAGGAUGAGGAGAGAGUAAUUGGAAGUGAUGGAGAAUUAGUCAGCGUUUUCACGAGUCUGGGCUCAGUGGACAAGAAAGAUUCACAGCAGAAAAGGAUCGAAAGUGGUAUAUUGAAACUGGCUCAGCGAUUUGCCCAAAAGGAGAAGUUCAGCA